rnacentral:misc_RNA from 1 species
AAAUGAGCUAAAUGUUAGCUACAAGCUAUGAGCCAAGCUCAUGAGCUUGAUAAAUGAACCAAAUGUGAGCUGAUUUGACCAAACUCGAGCCUAAUAAAACUUAAAUGAGCCGAGCUUGAGAUUAGUAUGUGAGCUUAAAUUAAAUAAAAAUUUAUGAACUGAGCCUAAGCUUUUGAAAGCAGGCUCUGCACAGCUUGACUGGGCUCAUUUACACCCUUAUCAGAAAUACUUUGAACGGUAGCCUGACAUUUUUCUCUAGCAGCUUUUAUGCACUGCUGUAAAACAAAGUAAAUGUUCUUGAGAUAGUCUGUCAUUGAGCUUGUCAGGGCUUUUUUGUACUGUCCACAAAUUCUGUAAUUUGUAUGCACCUGAAGUUCAAUGGUAAGAAUGUAAAAUUGUUUCAAUGAUCCAACUUUAUACUUGGCCUAACAUAUGAAACAUAGAUGAUUAAAACAUUAUGAAGGGGGUAUGGUAUUGUUGCAUUUGAUGUAUGGACUUGUAUGCCUACUGAUGAAAAGCUUUUCCCCUACUGAAUGAAGUCCUUUUUAUGCAUCUAUUCAUCAUUAUUAAUUACAAAGGCGACCCGCGGUUUUCAUUUCCAGUGUAAAUAACUUGAUUUGUAUUUUUCUAAAAGAAUCAUUCUAGGAG